rnacentral:rRNA from 1 species
ACUCCUACGGGAGGCAGCAGUGGGGAAUAUUGCACAAUGGGCGCAAGCCUGAUGCAGCCAUGCCGCGUGUAUGAAGAAGGCCUUCGGGUUGUAAAGUACUUUCUAGCAGUGAGGAAGGUGGGUAUGUUAAUAGCAUACUCAUUUGACGUUAGCUGCAGAAGAAGCACCGGCUAACUCCGUGCCAGCAGCCGCGGUAAUACGGAGGGUGCGAGCGUUAAUCGGAAUUACUGGGCGUAAAGCGCAUGCAGGUGGUUGUUAAGUCAGAUGUGAAAGCCCGGGGCUCAACCUCGGAAUUGCAUUUGAAACUGGCAAACUAGAGUACUGUAGAGGGGGUA